CCGCGUCCGUCCGUGAGGGGUUGGGUUCUGAGCCGUGGCUCAGUACGUUAGCCCAAGGUUACCUGAGCCGCCUUAUCUGCUGGGUAUCUCGGGGGAAUGGCGUCUGCGGCGGCUGCGACCCCUAGCGGCGGAGCGGCAGAGCGGCGGUGGAAGCGGGCGGGCCGGAGUUCCUGCUGGAUCCAAUUGAGCGGUUCCCGCUCAGGGAAGAGUUCACGGACAACUUCGAGCGCCCUGAUCCGGUGCCUCUGGCGCUGCUAUCUCCGCGUGAGCAAGCGCCGGCCUUGCCGGCGAAUUCAAACUGCAGCUCAGGCUGUGCACAGGGAGUAGGUGGCUGCAGCCCUGACCGGUCUGGAGGCGAGCUCCGCCGGAGGAGGAAUGCUUCACUGCACACUGGAAGGUGAAUCUGGAAGGCCCCGGCUGGAUGAAAAGGAUAGGAAAUCGGGAUGGUGUAUUAGUAAGUUAUUAAUUAGAAUAAGCGCGAACUUAUCGCCUGGAAGCUUCACCACGCUCUCUUGCACUGCCUCAAUGAGUACUACGCUGGAUGGCAACACAGGAUGGAGAUUGGUCUACCAUCUACAUAGGAGGAUACCGGGGCUUGCAUCUUGCACAUUGCACAUUGCGAGGCAUUAGGACGGCAUAAAGCUCAAGAUCCCACUGAAAAAGUUUACAGGGGAACACCUCCACGCUGGCGCACGAGGCACUCUGGGCGGUACUGGCACCUACCGAUUCUUGCUUCAGAUCGUGCAUCUCAGCUUAGACACCAGCUCAUGGCCUGCUUAAACACGCCCCUAAUCUGCGCCGCAGGGAGAUUCCCCCUUAUCACUGCCCCCAUGGAGAUUCUACCUUAGCACUGCUACGAUCUUCUUUUCAAAAAGCAUUUAUGUGAAGAUGUUGUGUUAUAGGCACAAAACCUACCCUCCUUUUGCCUUCGAAUCAUCUUCGCAUUUUUCAUGUGUGCUUUAUAAAGAUUUGAGUACUCUUUUCGAACUUC